rnacentral:rRNA from 1 species
GACGAACGCUGGCGGCGUGCCUAAUACAUGCAAGUAGAACGCUGAAGAGAGGAGCUUGCUCUUCUUGGAUGAGUUGCGAACGGGUGAGUAACGCGUAGGUAACCUGCCUGGUAGCGGGGGAUAACUAUUGGAAACGAUAGCUAAUACCGCAUAAUAGUAGAUGUUGCAUGACAUUUGCUUAAAAGGUGCAAUUGCAUCACUACCAGAUGGACCUGCGUUGUAUUAGCUAGUUGGUGAGGUAACGGCUCACCAAGGCAACGAUACAUAGCCGACCUGAGAGGGUGAUCGGCCACACUGGGACUGAGACACGGCCCAGACUCCUACGGGAGGCAGCAGUAGGGAAUCUUCGGCAAUGGACGGAAGUCUGACCGAGCAACGCCGCGUGAGUGAAGAAGGUUUUCGGAUCGUAAAGCUCUGUUGUAAGAGAAGAACGAGUGUGAGAGUGGAAAGUUC